CCUACGGGUGGCUGCAGUGAGGAAUAUUGGUCAAUGGACGCAACUCUGAACCAGCCAUGCCGCGUGCAGGAAGACGGCCCUAUGAGUUGUAAACUGCUUUUAUACGGGGGUAAACUCAGUUACGCGUAUCUGAUUGCAAGUAUCGUACGAAUAAGGAUCGGCUAACUCCGUGCCAGCAGCCGCGGUAAUACGGAGGGUUCGGGCGUUAUCCGGAUUUAUUGGGUUUAAAGGGUGCGUAGGCGGUCGCAUAAGUGAGAGGUGAAAUGCCGAGGCUCAACUUCGGAAUUGCAUCGGAUACUGUGCGGCUAGAGAGUAGUUGCGGUAGGCGGAAUGUGUGGUGUAGCGGUGAAAUGCUUAGAGAUCAUACAGAACACCGAUUGCGAAGGCAGCUUACCAUGCUACUUCUGACGUUGAGGCACGAAAGAGUGGGGAGCAAACAGGAUUAGAUACCCUUGUAGUC
rnacentral:rRNA from 1 species